CCUCUAAUGACUGGACAGGGCCAUAAAGGGACCUGGGGUGUGUUUGCUAAAAAGGUCUCUUUGCCUCACCUGGGGACUACUUAAAGAGCCAUCCCAGCUUCAAAGCCCUCUGUGAUUAGCUUAGGCCUCUAUUACAACUACACUGCAGUUCAAUUUCUCCCUAUGCCCCAUGCUGCUUCUUCAUACCUAACAGAGGUUAAUGCUGAGAAGACACUCCAGUAAAUUGCCUGCACGCAUAUCUUCAUAUUGGAGCCUGUUUCCAGGGACCCCUACUUAAGACAGCUCAGAAGGUUGCAAACAGAAGACUCAAACUUAUCAACAGAACGGGCACCACACCAAGUUGAAGCAAGCAUUCCACAAUGUUUAGCGCCACGUCACAGAUACGAGAGCUGAUGUCAUGAUUAAGGACAAGAUAAACAGCCUUCAGAACUACCUGAGGAAAACAAGAUAAACACAGCAUGAUUAAGUUACCUGCACUCCCUCUUCCUAAAGAGAUCUGAUUAUUCUGUUUAACCCAUUUCCUUAGGCUAGUCUAUGAAAUUGGGUAGAAAUAAUUUAGACAACUGUCAAAUUUUCCUAUAAAAGUUGCUGUGGAAUCUUGUGUAUUUACUUAAUAGAGCGUGUAAGUCACCCAAAGUAUUAAAAAUAUAUACAUGUAUUAUCUCAUGUACAUCUUCCAAAACAUGCUAUGAUAUCAACAGUUAAUGGGGAUAUUGAAGCACAGUGAGUUAAUGAGAGAGUAACUAUUUGUCCAAAUGGAAACUUGUUCUAUUGAUUUUUUAAAAUAAAAAUGUUUUAAUCUCCUGUCUUUCAUUCAUUACUAAUAAUGGAUAAAGAACAAUGAUUUC
rnacentral:lncRNA from 1 species